rnacentral:lncRNA from 1 species
CUUGAAAGUGUUAUGAAUGAUGCUAUUGUUUUAAUUUCAAGGUAGUUGUUCACUGUGGGAAUGGGGGAAAGUAAUUGAUUUCUAUGUGUCUUACUUACUAGAGUAAGGCUCCCUUACUCUAGUGACUGCUGUGUCGUUUCAUAGGACCUUCCAUGUAGACUGCCAUGAGCUCUGCCAAUACGGGCCACUUUGCUCCAUCCUCUACAGAUUGGCUGCCCCCCACCACCCACCCUGUGUUGGCAGACCUUCUAGGAUACCGCCGGACACACAUGUUCAGUCUUCCACCUGUGAGCCUGAUGGGCAAGAAUGGGUGUGGGAUUUUGUGAAAUGCUUUUUCUUCCAUAGUUGAGAUGUAGUUCUUAUUAAUUCUAUUAGUAUUGUGAAUUAACAUUUUUUAAAAAAUAAGGUUUUUAGUUCAGGAUCAAUCUGAACUGACAGAAAGUUGCAAAGACAGUAGAGAGUUGCCUAUGUGCCUUACUCAGUCUCCCCCUACUCUUAACAUCUUACAUUACUCAGGUACUUUUGUCACAACCAAGAGAGCAACAUUAGUCUAGUACUAUUAACCAAACCCCAGACUUUAUUUGGAUUUCAGCUAUAAUGGACUCUUUAGUUAUCCUCUUCUCUGUGAUGGUCUUUCAGUCUUCCCUUAUCAGCUCUGUAUUUUCUAAAAUGCCCCUCAUUUUCUGUCUUUCAUAUGCUGUUCUUUGGAUAGGAGUUACGGAGUCUGGUCUACCUUUGGAAGGGUGGAUUUAAGCUUUGCUUUCUGGUGAGGGGCUACCUACCCAUCUAUAUUAUAUCUUUCUUGGAAUUCUUCUGUAAGAUAACCUCUUCCCUCAGUGUAUUUAUUAUACAAUAAAUUUAUUCAUCUGUAUGAACUUGUACAUUUUAUACUUUUGGCUAAUAAUCUGUCAUUUAAUUAUUUUGAUACUAGGGAUUGAACACAGGGGCACUCUUGCCACUGAGUUAUAUUCCCAACCCUUUUAAAAUUAAACCUGUUUCAAAAUUAUUUUUUUGAAACAGUCUCAUCAAGUUGCCAAGUCUGGCCUUGAACUUCUUAUUAAAUCUUUG